GUGGGGGGGGUCUCAAUUUAAUGUUUUGAAAACGAAAAAUAGGUUUCUAGGAAAGCAAUGAAAAAGUGUUCGUAUGUGAUAUAUAUAUUAUGCUGAGCAGAGGGUCUUGAGCUCGAUAUCUGCUGACCCCUCAAGGAUCAUUUAGUGAUUGAUUUAGAUUGGUUGAGUAAAAUAUUCAAACUAUUUUAUUACAUGACAACCGGAGAAAUGGAUACGUGAAAGGAAGAAUAUAGGUGUGGUCAUUCGUGCCACACAAACUGACAAGAGAAUGACGACGAUGGUGUGAUGCGUGUAUGGACGUAUAAAACGAGAUGAAUUAGUGAAAUGAGCGAUUAGAAUUGAUUUUGAAAUUGUGUGCACGCACAAGGAGAAAUAGAAAUAGAGGGAAUGAAAGAGAGAGGGGAAAAAAAUGAGAGAGAGAGAAGAGACAAAGAGAUAGUGAUGGAGUGAGAGGGCCGCCGGUAGUGGUGGCGUUAAGGAUUGGGGAUUGCGACUGCGCUUGGGCUUGCGCGAAAUGUAGUAAACAUAGAGUCGCGCCGGCGACAGCACGUUAAACAUAUCUCUCUCGUUGCUCGUCUCUGAUGAACAGUUUCAACGGCAUGGAGGAAACGAAUUUGCCCGAAACAAAAUACCUACGGAUCAAUGUGUGUGUAUGUAUAUAUAGACAUCAAUAUGUCCGUCGGUCUGUCUAUAUACAUCAUUACAGACACGCGCGCUUACCGUUUCACCGAGUCGUUACAGGUCAACCAAGCAGGGCCUAGUGAAAUAUCUUUGCUGCCAUACGAUCUCCGAGCGAUGGAAGAAUAUGUAUUACUGAAAUGAACAGCCCGUUUUGUCUCUGUUAACUCUUUCAGUCGCACCUUGUUUGGCGGAGUCAAAAGAAAAAUGGACGACAUGAGAGGAUCGUGACGUAAUUCGUCUUUCAAAGGAUUCAAGAGUCAAACAAUAUCUCAGGUACUUUCACAAUAAAAAGAGUAAGUAGUACACAUCUAGUCCAACUAUUAACUCUAAUUUAUCAUACAUCAUUUAGUACCAAUUUCUGUUACUUAACAUACUACUACCAACUCAUAAUAGAACUAUUACAAGGUUAUAUUGUUAACAAUGGAAGAUUAAAGCUGUUAAACAUUUAAUGGCAAAUAUAAUUUCAAAUGUGAGUUUUCAGGAUGCCAGCCUAUAAACCAAUUGGUUUACAGUUUUCAUCCCAUCACUAGCACUGAUCUCUUUAAUGGUGAAAUCCAUGUAAUUAUAAAUCUUGGACAGACUACAGUUCACUAUUAUAAGCAGUUUAACUCUUUCAUUACUAUAUUUCUGUUGAAAUUCAGUUUUUACUUCAAUUAAUUUUGAAAAUAAUGAAGAGUUUGAUAAAAUUACUUAAUCACUAUUAACACAUAAAGUGCGACAGGCCACGAUCCUGGUUGACAGGCCACAAUAGAUGCAUUUAAUUUAUUGGUGUUUGUUAGGGGUCUAAUGUCUCUCAAACACUCCGAUAUCCCCCAGAAUGCAGGAGGACUAAUAAUUCAACCAAUGACUUUUCAGAUAAUGUAAAAUUUGCUACCAUUAUAUACUUUUUUUUAUGUGUGCAUGGUAGUCUCAUUUUCAUAAAAUGUGCUCAGCAGUCCAUGUUAUGUAAGUGCAAGUCCCAGCGCUUUAUGGGUUAAGUUUGGAACAUGAAUUAAUAUGAAAUUUUCAGGGAAGGCUUUGAUUUAGAUCACUUAAACACAGGAAUUUGUAUCACAGAACUAGGAUGAUCUCAGGUGGGUUGGUAUAAAAAAGGGUAAAGUAAUAUUAUUGGAACAUGGUUUCCUAGCUUUCAGUACUAAGCUCAAAUCUUUCCCAGGUGAGAAAACUGCAACAAGAAACCAUACAGGUGUAUUUUCUCCUGACUCUUUGAAAGCCUUUUGAGAACCCUGAUAACCUCGGAGAUUAUCAUGUAUUAUUUAUAGUUACAUUCCUAUAGCGAUUAUUCAUCAUGAACUAUCAGACCUCCUUGUAAAAAGUUAAUUCAAAAGAUUCUAACAUUGGUGCUACAUAAAAAUCAUCCAAUACACUCUAUAAAGUGGUUGGCAUUAGGAAGGGCAGGCAGCCAUAGAAACCAUACCAAAACAAACAAUUGGAACUGGCUUGCCAGCAUAGAAAAUAGAUGUUAAAUGAUGAUGAAUCAUUCCUCUGUGAUUGAGUUCUUUCUGAAAUCUCUCUCUCUCUCUUUCAAUAAAGUUGAGAUUUAAUAAAUAAAAAAUCAUUAAGAAAGCUA